GAUCACGGUGAUGACUCCAUAAAAUUCAAGCUCAACAGACCGGAAUGCAGAGCUUUCUCUCUUUCGGGAGAUUGCGUUGCGUGUCGACUACCCCGCUGAACUGAGUGAUC
rfam:Cajanus cajan Scaffold126926_3, whole genome shotgun sequence.